CCUCAGAUCCUUGGCACCGCCGCAGUGAUGAAUCCGCUAGGAUGUGGCAUGACUGAUCACCCAACUGUCACACUGUUGAGCCCAAUGCAGACUGACAAGCCAUCUGACUGCUGCUGACACACACGUGCACACUUGCAUGUCGACUCUCACACAGAAAGCGGGAUAAAGCCGAACCUGCUGCAGUUUGAAACCUGUUCACUCGUUGAUAACAGGAAAGUAUUUAGGUUGUAACCGUUAAAUGCUCCAAGCGAUAAAAUGCAAAACGACUUCUUUUUGGUGUCCAUGUUGCUCCCAGAUUGCAACUUGACACACAUGAACACAUAGAUGUUCCCAAACUUGGGCAGUAGGACCAUCUGAGGAGCACGUGAAUGCGGCAGUAUUCCACACGUUUUCCAGUGUGUGAAGGUUGUGGCAGCUCGCUCUCGAAACGUGUACACAUGGUCUGAGGAACACACACUCAUGAAGCAAGCGAGCGCUGAAGUUGUCAGGACUGCUCGUCUCGUCUCCAGAAGCGUCUCGUCACUGAGUCACAGUUAUCCCAACAGAUUGAUUAUACAGCAGGAUGCAUUAAUCCACACUCCUGGAAGAAGCGCUCAGCAGUGAAAGGAGCACGAGAGCAUGUUCGCAAAAUAGUUCAUCAUCGUCUCCCGUUCUUUUGUCUCGACCCCGAUCCCCCACCACGAUCAACAUCUAUUCAUCACCUGAGCACGUUUCACCAGGAAUCAGUAUUCUGAAGCUGUAGCCCACGAAGACCACAUAUCAACAUAAUGCCCGUGAGUAAUUUUUUUCCAGGCAUGGAGGCUUACAUACUGUACAUCCACACAAGCAGCUCACAGCCAGAAACAGUGUGCAUAAUUCAGGGGCAUUAGUUUGGGGCUUUUCUCACUGAUUGAUUGUUUGCUGUUGCCGUGUGAUGGUUAUUACACCCAGGAGAUGUGCGUAAUGUGGAGAGGCAGCUGACAUAUUUGCAGGACAGAGGGAUGUUUGUCUAAUGAAACUCUCUGGUGAUUUGCUGCCGGC